AAAACGACUCUCGGCAACGGAUAUCUCGGCUCUCGCAUCGAUGAAGAACGUAGCGAAAUGCGAUACUUGGUGUGAAUUGCAAAAUCCCGUGAACCAUCGAGUCUUUGAACGCAAGUUGCGCCCUAAGCCUUCUGGCCGAGGGCACGUCUGCCUGGGUGUCACAAA
rnacentral:rRNA from 1 species